rnacentral:lncRNA from 1 species
CCGUCCUCUUACAACCGACCUCGUGGCUAAUGUGUAACCACCGUCCACUCUGAUCAUCGUAAAAUACGCAAGAUAGUAAGAUACAAUAACAGAUCCAACAUACACGACAUAGGUUAUUAUCUCAGAAAGAGAGAGAUUGAACUUGUAUAAAAACUUUCCUGUGCUUUUAUCUUUAGUUUUCGAUCUUGUGAUCUAGUUAACAUCGACUCAUCGAAUAACCUUCGACAGAAAGGGGAGGGAGAUUAGACGUGUUGGAUGAUGGCUUAAUUACAUACAGGUCACAACUCACAGCCGACGCGACGACGACGAUGAGGAGGAGCAAAACAGCAGAGUGGUGGGGGAGAGAAGAGAAGGAAGAAGGCAGCAGCUUACUACUAGCACGUACAAUACAAUACAAUACACAGUGCAUAGUACAGGCACAGCAGCAGUACUAGUCUAGCAGUGGUACAUGUACAAGUACAAACAACCCGUGCGGGCAGCGGGCGGAGAAGGAAGCGAGGACGCCGCGCGCGGGCCACGAGGCAGAGGCAGAGGCAGAGGCAGGUGCAGCAGCGCUUCACUUCACCUCACUUGGGUCCCCAGAGCAGCAGGUGCAUGACCUUGGCCGUCUUGGCGUGGCCGUGGCGGUGGUCCUCCCGCUCCCGCCCGCGCCACCCCGCCGUCUCCCUCCCGGCCCGGGCCGCCGCGUCGCGCGCCAGCGCGCGCAGGGCGGCCAGCUCUGGCCACCUGCUGCUGGUGCUCUCCUCGCGCCCGUCGCUCAUGUCGGCUGCUGCUAGCUGCGCCGUAGUAGGUUAGGUAGCUAGGCCGUAGCUGUAGCACUAGCACACUGGUUCUCUUCUUGCUCUGUGGCCGAACCGCACGUAUGCCGUUGUCAGCUGGAAACCUCGCCGGCCGCUUAUAUAAGCGCGGGCGCGGGCAGUCUACUAGCGUGACGCACUGACCGACGGCAGGCAGGCAGCACAGGUGGAGUGGGGUGGGGCGCGCGAGUAGUAAUUGAAGAUAAGAAUCGACGACGAUAAAUAUCGCGUGGUGGCGUCAUUCGGUUUCGACGAGAGGCCGUGCGUGGAAAUGGAUCGAGUGGCCGGGAACAUCUGGCUGACGUGCCGCCCGCCGGCCGGCCGUCUGCUGGUCGCCGUCGGGAUCAGACAGACGAGCCAUCGGGCCGCGGCCCACCGGGCGUUGGUCGGGCGGUCGCUGAGCAUCCAGGUGGGGGAGUGCAGGCCGAGGGUGUGGGGGCUGUGCUUCG